rnacentral:lncRNA from 1 species
GGAAUAGAAAAUGGCACCAAUGAGAAAAAGAGAGGAUUUCAAGUCUCCCAAGCCCUAUAAAUUCAUGCUUUAGAAGGGAGUCAGCACUCUCGUUUGUGAUCCGCUUAGGUCUGUGAGGUACAAGGGUCCUGGCUCGAGCUUGCAAUAAACUCCUCGUGCAUUUACAUCGGACUCAACUCCUUGGUGGUCUUUGGGGACUUCGCGAUCUGGGCACAACACAGUCUUCUGCAGUGCAAGAAAGGAAUUGGAGGCCAGCUCACUGCAGCAGAUCACUCAAACCUGGAGCAGAGGCAGCAGGAGGACAAUGGCUGAGUAAACAGGAUCGUUUGUCUGAGUGGUUUGAAGGUUUCAUGGUGUAUUGGAGAAAUGCUGCCAACCUGGAAUAUAACACUGAGAAUAUUCACGUGGAAGCUGGGGUACAUCACCAAUUCAUGGCUCUGUGUGCUACUGAACUGGUGAACAAGAAGAGGAUCAUUAAAGCUGGUCAAAAUUGCGAAGUAGAAAAUCAGCUGCUCUGCUGUACACGGAG